CUGACUUUGAGUAGCAGGCUAAGCCCAACACAUUGGUGGAAAAUGUGAAUGGUGUUCUUAAUACUUGUGUGUUGGUCUUUCAGGUUCUCUGUCAUUUUUGUUUUCUUUGCUGCUUCUGAUCAUCACAUUAGUUCUAUUAUUUUUUCCCUGGGCCACUGAGGUUCCAAUCCCAGAGGUAGAAAUGAAGAUCCUUGACAAGUUCUUCAUUGGUCAUUAUGUUCUACUGGUUUUUCUCAAUGUUUUUUUCCUUGGAAGUCUCUUUCUGGUUCUAAUUCACUUCAGUCUUGGUAAGGACCAUUUAAAGAAAUACCAAAAACUACUAAUUGAACAGAGCUGCUGUAUGAAUUCUAUGAAUAUUGAAACUCAUUGAAGGAGCUAUGGAAUUAUUUUGGUGAGUAUAUAUUCUCCUUGAGAAAUGGUGUUAUCUUCAUAAUCACUUAAUUAUUUUGGAGUAGGACUUAAAUUAAGCAGGAUAAAAUGGAAUGAAUUAUGGGAAGAAAAUAUUUCCCAACAGCUGGCAGAGGUCAAAAACAGAUACUUUAUGAUUAUUGGUGAUAUUACAUUGCUUGAAAAUGGCACUUAGAUCUUUUUUUUAAAAAAUUUAAUAGCCUUUUAUUUACAGGUUAUAUGUAUGGGUAACUACAGCAUUGACAAUUGCCAAACCUCUUGUUCCAAUUUUUCUCCUCCUUCCCCUUACCCCCUCCCCCAGAUGGCAGGAUGACCAGUAGAUGUUAAAUAUAUUAAAAUAUAAAUUAGAUAUGCAAUAAGUAUACAUGACCAAACCGUUAUUUUGCGGUACAAAAAGAAUCGGACUCUGAAAUAUUGUACAAUUAGCCUGUGAAGGAAAUCAAAAAUGCAGGUGGGCAAAAAUAUAGGGAUUGGGAAUUCAAUGUAAUGGUUUUUAGUCAUCUCCCAGAAUUCUUUCACUGGACGUAGCUGGUUCAAUUCAUUACUGCUCCAUUGAAACUGAUUUGGUUGAUCUCUUUGCUGAGGAUGGCCAGGUCCAUCACAAUUGGUCAUCAUAUAAGUAUAUAAUGAUCUCUUGCCCCUGCUCGUUUCACUCAGCAUCAGUUCGUGUAAGUCUCUCCAGGUCUUUCUGAAAUCAUCCUGUUGGUCAUUUCUUACAGAACAAUAAUAUUCCAUAAUAUUCAUAU
rnacentral:lncRNA from 1 species